GAGGAAAACAUCAGACUGUUCAGUGAUAUGUCCUGUUUCCAGAAAAUGAUGUACAGUAGCACGCGAUGGCAUUUGGUGUUCAUCUGAAUGUAUGCGGCGGCGCACACGCAAUAUUGGCCGGUACGACCUUAAAGUACCUGGUGCGCAGGCUAUGGUAAGUGGGGGCACAAGAUAAUAAAUUGUACGCACUAAAUUGUUUCUCUGGAAGAAGAAAACCCCACAUCUUCUCAGGGGCUCCGUACGAGUGUGCAGACGAAUACCUGUAAACAUAAAGCACGGACCUAAACCCGUACCCUCCCACAAGCCUAAUUAAAACCAUUGUGUAACGGGGUACACGAUGGGCAUUUCGUGAUUGAUAUUGUUGGCAUUAUCAGACGCACAUCAUACGAAUUGCAGGCUGCAGCUAAACCCAUCUCCAAUCAUCCCACACUCCUUUAAUAAACAAAAGCCCAGCCGUCUGCUUUUUUAUAUCACCGCUCUACAAGCACUGUAAGUGACGUCAAACUGAAGCGCCGAAGCCUUGGUAAAGUCGUAAUUAGGCAGCCCCGAAGCGCACGUUUGUAAGUUUUUAAUCCAACAUUAUCUGGUACGAACGUGACAGUUUCACGAGAUAAGGGUUAUCCCAUAAUCUUUUCACUGUGCGGUUCAGAGCUUCUUUGUCACGUGUAGCUAUGGUCGCGUACGGUUGACGUUAUCCAGGGCGACUGUUACUGAAAGCACGCUGCCUACCCGCGCAUUGUAGUAAGAACUGCACGAGAGGAAGACUGUGGUGGAGUGAGGCAGGAGUUUCAACGAGGUUAGAAAGUUGACCAUCGCCGACAAACAGAAGAGAAAAAUCUGCCAUUUACUGUAAUGUUUAAAUGGAUGUGAAAGAGAAGACUUGCGAGGCCAACGUGAAUAGCAUGGAGGAGAGGACUGUAAAUUUUGAAGAGGAGGACUGUGAGUGGGAGAAUGUCCAUCCUAAACAGGGGAGUCUGACAUUAAGGAAAGGGAUCGUGAACUGGGGGCAAUGAGUAAAGAGGAGUCUUCUAUCAAUGUAAAAUAUGAAUCAUUACGGUCUGACACAAAGACGAUUGAAGAAAUUUCAUCUCCUAGAACUUGGGGAGGUCGGUCACCACCUAAGACAUCAUCUGAAACAAAAAUCAAACUUCACUGCUGUUCUGAAUGUGGCAAACAGUAUUCACGAAGAAGCCAUCUUCAGCACCACCAAAGAAUUCACACAGGAGAGAAGCCAUAUUGCUGUUGUGAAUGUGGUAAAAUGUUUUUAUGGAAAAAUGAG